rnacentral:rRNA from 1 species
CAAUAGCGUAUAUUAAAGUUGUUGCAGUUAAAAAGCUCGUAGUUGGAUUUGUGGCUGUCACGGGCGGCCUAUCACUUAGUGUUAGUGCUUGCCUGUGUCGCCAUCCUUGGGUGGAGCCCGUGUGGCAUUAGGUUGUCGUGCGGGGGAUGCCCAUCGUUUACUGUGAGAAAAUUAGAGUGUUCAAAGCAGGCUUAUGCCAUUGAAUAUGUUAGCAUGGAAUAAUAAGAUAGGACCUCGGUACUAUUUUGUUGGUUUGCGCACCGAGGUAAUGAUUAAUAGGGACAGUUGGGGGUAUUCGUAUUUCAUUGUCAGAGGUGAAAUUCUUGGAUCUCUGAAAGACGAACUACUGCGAAAGCAUUUACCAAGGAUGUUUUCAUUAA